AAUCAGUGAAAAAAGAGUGACAAGCUCCUCUUUUUCACAGGCAGAGCUCUGUGACGAAGCAUGAAAUAUGGGCAGCUAACCCACAAAGGAGGUGGGAUAUCCUCCAAACCCCAGUCCUGAUAUGGUGCUGCUGCUCUGCAGUAUGUGUGCAUGCCUGUGUGCCUACGUGUGAUGUGGAUUUCGGCUCUCAAAGAGAACUUGAAAGCCUUCCAGCAGAAACACUAUUUGGGCUGAAAGUCAUCUGUGAAUUCAUGCCUGGGGUAACCCAGCCUCCAGCUGACUUCACACAGUGAAAGCAGUUCACAGCAUCUGAGAUCAAAGCCAGGGCUUGAACAAAGCUGGCUGCUGGGAAGGGGACAAAGAGAGAAUGGGCUAUCCUUGACACUUAGAGACCAACAUCUGAACAGGUAGGAGCUUUUCCAACAGAAAGGCAAUAGAAAGACAGAACAGAACCAUGUGUCUCUACUCUGUGGAGACAGCAGCAGCUCCCCUUCAGUCUGGCUGGUGGCCCAAGGGUGGCAUUUUUGUGUGUGCUCUUGCCCCACAGCUGGUGUGGGGCAGAGCCUGAGAGCCUGAGGAGCAAAUCUGAGCAGCUGCCCCCGUGCUACCUUCCCUUUUCUCAGGCACGAGACUGCACAGGAGGAUUUUGAGGGCAGAUUAGUCAAGACA
rnacentral:lncRNA from 1 species